UAGGGAAUCUUCCACAAUGGACGAAAGUCUGAUGGAGCAACGCCGCGUGAGUGAAGAAGGGUUUCGGCUCGUAAAGCUCUGUUGUUAAAGAAGAACACGUAUGAGAGUAACUGUUCAGGUAUUGACGGUAUUUAACCAGAAAGCCACGGCUAACUACGUGCAAG
rnacentral:rRNA from 1 species